AUACGGAGGGUGCAAGCGUUACUCGGAAUCACUGGGCGUAAAGCGCGCGCAGGCGGCUAUUUAAGUUGGAUGUGAAAGCCUACGGCUCAACCGUAGAACUGCAUCCAAAACUGUCAAGCUAGGGUGUGGGAGAGGAAGAUGGAAUUAGUUGUGUAGGGGUAAAAUCCGUAGAGAUAACUAGGAAUACCAAAAGCGAAGGCAAUCUUCUGGAACACUACUGACGCUGAGGCGCGAAAGCGUGGGGAGCAAACGGGAUUAGAAACCCUAGUAGUCC
rnacentral:rRNA from 1 species